AUUGAACGCUGGCGGCAGGCUUAACACAUGCAAGUCGAGCGGGCGCAGCAAUGCGUCAGCGGCAGACGGGUGAGUAACGCGUGGGAACGUACCUUUUGGUUCGGAACAACCCAGGGAAACUUGGGCUAAUACCGGAUAAGCCCUUACGGGGAAAGAUUUAUCGCCGAAGGAUCGGCCCGCGUCUGAUUAGCUAGUUGGUGAGGUAAUGGCUCACCAAGGCGACGAUCAGUAGCUGGUCUGAGAGGAUGAUCAGCCACAUUGGGACUGAGACACGGCCCAAACUCCUACGGGAGGCAGCAGUGGGGAAUAUUGGACAAUGGGCGCAAGCCUGAUCCAGCCAUGCCGCGUGAGUGAUGAAGGCCCUAGGGUUGUAAAGCUCUUUUGUGCGGGAAGAUAAUGACGGUACCGCAAGAAUAAGCCCCGGCUAACUUCGUGCCAGCCGCCGCCGUAACAC
rnacentral:rRNA from 1 species